AGCAGCCGCGGUAAUUCCAGCUCCAAUAGCGUAUAUUAAAGUUGUUGCAGUUAAAAAGCCGUAGUUGAAUUUUGGAUCAGGUAACGCUUGGUCCAAGUUGCCAUUUGGCUAGUCGCAUGCUUCGGAUUGGUCCCAUUUGGCUUGGAUUUUGCCUCCCAUUCCUUGGGAAUGGAACCUCAUGAUCGUUCAUUGGAAUUUUUUCGGUUGCCCUUUUCCGCUGGGGGAAAAGAAUCCCGUGGGAAUGCUGUUCAAAUU
rnacentral:rRNA from 1 species